GUUGCUUCCUGGGGGAUGGAUCACCAACCUUCUAUGAUAUGCUAGGUAUCAUAUUGAUGACUCCAGCUGUUGGUUGGUUGUGAUCUUUUGGAUUUCCUUCUGUCUGAGGCAGAUAUUCAAUUACUUUUGUUGGUCUUACAUAUUUACCGAGGUAACCUUGAUGCACCAAGGCUUCUAUCUCAUCUCGCAGUUGUCUGUAGUUUUUGGUAUCGUGGCCAUGGUCUCGAUAGAAAUCAGUUUUUCUUUUUGUUUCUUUUUACUGGUGGGGCCUUCAUAGGAUUAGACUUUUGGAGAUAUCCUUCUCCUUCAAUUUUAUGAAAAUUUAUGCUUGAAGGGCAGACAAAGGAGUGUAAGAAUCAAAAUACCGAGGUGGGCUUCUUGACCUCAGAUUUUUCUGAGGUCGAUUGGAGCCAUUAUUGUUUUAUUGAGCUUCACCAUCUUCCCUCCGUUGCUUCUUCCUAUUUUCUUCUUUUCUCACCUAAUGGAGUAUGCUUUCUUCAUCUUCAACCUAUGCAUACUUUCGUACCCAGAUGAUUAUUUGCUCAUAGUUAUCUGGAUAGUUUUUGUUAAGGAAGAAGAUCGGGUGGUUGCUCCUAAGUCUUUGCUUCAAAACUACCAUAGCAACAGACUCAUUGAAGUUCUUCACUUUUAGAGUAGCUACAUUGAAGUGUGCAGUAUAAUUUCGCAGAGAUUCACCUUCCUA
rnacentral:lncRNA from 1 species